rnacentral:misc_RNA from 1 species
GGAAGGAUCAUUAGUGAAAAAAAACCUUGCGGGCCCCCAAAAGGGGAGCCCCUAAAGCCUUAUUGGCAAAACGAUGCAAAAAGAGGCCUUGGAGUUAGUUUGUGGAGAGCUCCAAAGGAGAGAUUUUUUGAAUUGUGGUUUGAUCAGCAUUUCCCAAGAGGAAUUGCACAAAUUUAUACUGUUAUUAGGGCAAAAGCCCAAAAAGAAGCAAAAAUUAAAUAAAAUCCUCAACGCUGGAUACCUUGGCUCAGACUGCGAUGAAGAGCGCAGUGAAAUGUGAUAAAUAGUGUGAAUUGCAGAACACAGUGAAUCAUUAAGAACUUGAAUGCAGUGCGCCUGCAGGUCACACUGCAGGCAUGUUCUCUUGAGUGUCAGCACAAAACAACCACGCAAGCUAACCGGGAGGUUAGUCUAGCGGACUUGGGGUUCCGUUGCGGUUCCCUUAAAUGCACGUUGUCCACAGAUUGCCCAAGCGCACUGUGCCCACUGAACCCAUCUUGGGGGCUUUACAGGGCCAAUUAGCUAGGCUUGAUGGAGGAUGACCGGACUGGAGCUGUCCGCAAGGCUCACUGCGAGCAAAACACCUGACCUCAAGUGGAGCAAGACUACUUGCUGAACUUAAGCAUAUCAAUAAGCAAAGGAAAAGAAAUUAACCAAGAUCCCCUCAGUAACUGCGAGUGAAGCGGGGAAAGUCCAAGCUUUUAAUCAGCCAGGUCUGCCUGGCGGAAUUGUGGUUUUGUGACCAACUUCAGGCAAGGGCACUGCUCAAAGUCUCCUGGAAUGGAGCGCCAGAGAUGGUGAGAGCCCAGUGAGGGCAGCGCCUGAGACUAUAUGUUGUUGGAUCAAAGAGUCAGAUUGUUUGGUAGUACAGUCUAAACUGGAUGGUAAGUCCCAUCUAAGACUAAAUACUAGUCUGAGACCGAUAGCGAACAAGUACCGUGAGGGAAAGGUGAAAAGAACCUUGAAAAGAGGGUGAAAAGUGCUUGAAAGCGCUGAGGAGGAAGCGGUUCUGUCCACCAGCGUGGCCCCGAAUCAGCUGGGACCAAGGCAAGUGGUGUUGUUGGGAACUGCCUCUUGGUAGUCCCUUCCGUGCCCUCAGCCUUGUGGACCGGUGCACUUUGGGGCCAACGACCAAUGGUGGUGGGGCCUGGGGUAGAAGCGCGUCAGAAAGGCACCAGCGGUGCGCUGUUGGGAUGUUUUGAUGCGACGUGCCUUGGGCCCCACUAGAGAUGCCUAAAGGGCAAUGGUGGGAUAUGCAGUACGGAUGGGGCCGUCUGCUGGAAGCUAUGGGAGCAAGUACACUUGCUCUUGUAGAAGUGCUGGCAAGGGCUUUGGCCGCGUCAGUCCUUCCGAAAUCCAUUGGAACAUUUGGACAAAACUGUCCCGUCUUGAAACACGGACCAAGGAGUCUAACCAAGGUGCAAGUGUAUGGGUGAAACAAACCCACACGCACAGUGAAAGCAAAGUGUGGGAGGGGGGCAACCCCUGCACCACAAACCGAUCCAGAGGCUUGCCAAAGGAUUUGAGUUAGAGCACCUCUGUUAGGACCCGAAAGAUUACGAACUAUGCCCGCGCAGGAUGAAGCUAGGAGAAAUCCUGGUGGAGGUCCGACGCAGUUCUAACGUGCAAAUUGAUUGCUAGACGUGGGUAUAGCGGCGAAAGACUAAUCGAGUAAUCUAGUAGCUGGUUCCCUC